CGACAGAACAGCGAGUAGAAUGGAAAAGUAUAGACAGUAGCAUUUCCCAGCCCAUUCGUUACAAACCAAGACUGGAGUCAGCACAACGUCCAUCAUUCUUCGAGGAUAUUUUCGUAUAGUGGUCACACCAUUGACUGUAGCCUAUAUAAAGGGUCACGCAGGUAACUAUUAUUUGUAUUUUUUUACAUUUGUAUAGCACCUUUCAUGCGCGUCCGCUUUAGGUGCAGACCUGAACAUUAUGAUAUUCCAGGAAUCUAAGUUUGUUUGGGAUCUAAUUUCGUCUAAUAAAAAGUGGAGUAUAUAAAUAAUUCCAGCUCAACAAGGAUAAACAUAGGAAAGUGAAGCCAUAUUGUGGUGUUCGUUAUAUUUGUUGGCUUGAUAGGCCAUUGGAAUUUGUUUCCAACGAAAGACGUAGAGGGAGCUUUUGCCGCCAAAGAAACGCUUGAGCUGUUUGCAACAACUUCGCAAGGUUGGCUAACCGUUCCUGUAAAUAUUGUGGAAUAAAUUGGGGAAAACGUUGUCUCUGAAAAUAAAUAAGUUACUAGUUUAGGCUAUACCGAAAACUUUUACAAACCAAGGAGACGCCAACUUAGGGAGAGAACCUGAAGCGGCCAAUCAGCCUAUAUCUACUGUAGGUAUAGUAUGUUUUAAUUACCUGAGUUGUCCACAGUGAAAAUUACCAUCAACUUGUUGCCUAACGUUACUUUUUAGACAACAGCUUCUCUUUCAUUUCACAGGAGUUUUACUUGUCAACCAUGAACCAAACCGCAGGAGUAACACAGACAUACCGGAGGUGUUCUAAAGCAGGAAAGUGCCAUUUCCUGUACCAGCAAUUGGCUGUGUCAACUUCCGAAACGCAGACCUCCCAGAGAAAUGUGCUGGGCUUGCACCUGUGUCAGUCUCCCAGAUGGACCUGCUGAGAUUGUGCCGCAGGUUUUCUCCAAAUCUCUCAAAGAUCCAACCCUCGGGCGUAAUACCUGAAUAUCCAUAAUUGCUGUGGAUAUUAGCCGAUAAUUCUGUGUUUCCAUACAUUGUUGAUGAGCCACUUACACUUACAACCUUUCAGAAUAUAGAUGUAGGCUCUUAAUUUGAUCAGUCUUUUGUUGCUGAUAAUUUUUCUGCAAACAGGAAAAGCAAGCUUGUAGUAUAUUUGGGUUUUUAAAAGGCUUCUAAAGUUUGUCAUUUCCAUUUAGAAAUUUCAGACUUGAUUUGCCCAAAUAAAACAUUUAUCAACCCCUACAAAAAUGUCCAUUAAUUAUAAUCCACAUAAUAAUUCACAUUUCCUACUGCUGUAGGAUUAUUUUACUACUGUAGCAAACUGGCUCAAAUUAAGAUCCUGUAUGUGUGGUGUUCUGUGAUUUAUUUCCGUUUUGUUCUCCAGAUGUUAUUUGCCGCUGCUGUCUGUUGGUCUUUUUAUCAAUGACUUCACACUUCUGUAUUUAUACAGUGUAUGUGUCAUCAUAAGCCACUAGUCUUACCCUUGUCAAUGGUGACUUGUAAGUUACUUGAAGUUAACUGCAAUCCUUCAUAUUUUAGUUUAUAUCAGAGUAACGUCAAGGUUGUGUGAUGUAUUGGGUGACCGCGUCCCAGAUUGGGCGGGACAAUCCUGCAUUUUGUACCUUUGUCCCUUAACCAAACAAUCAAGUCCCACAU
ensembl:lncRNA